UCCAGUGGAGGCGUGCUGUUUGAUUCUUGGGUGCGGCUCCAGGGUCUUUCAUUUGGAGGUCCCACCGAGAUCUCUUGAAGUCCCAUCCAAGACUCUAGCCGGUCCCCACUGGGAGACUCCAUUGCUACAAUGACUACACCACGACAGACGAUCCUUGUCACGUGCAAGGACACCUCUUCACUGUCAGCGCUGGAUUCAACUGCCUCCACCUUUUGAAACUCCCUUAUACUUUCCUACCCUGAUCAAUAUUGACCCCAGUAGGUAGGGACAGCUCUACGCCCCUAUUCAGCACGAAGAAGUUAUAGAAGAUGAGACCUUCCACCUUCAACCACCUU